rnacentral:rRNA from 1 species
UACGUAGGGUGCAAGCGUUGUCCGGAAUUAUUGGGCGUAAAGAGCUCGUAGGCGGUCUGUCGCGUCGGCUGUGAAAACUCGGGGCUCAACUCCGAGCUUGCAGUCGAUACGGGCAGGCUAGAGUUCGGCAGGGGAGACUGGAAUUCUGGUGUAGCGGUGAAAUGCGCAGAUAUCAGGAGGAACACCGGUGGCGAAGGCGGGUCUCUGGGCCGAUACUGACGCUGAGGAGCGAAAGCGUGGGGAGCGAACAGG